rnacentral:tRNA from 1 species
GCGGAGGUAGCCAAGCCUGGUCCAAGGCGCGGGGCUCAGAACCCCGUGGCGUAGGCCUUCGUGGGUUCAAAUCCCACCCUCCGCACCA